GUCUACGGUCAUGCCACCCUGAACGUGCCCAAUCUCAUCUGAUCUCAGAAGCUAAGCAGGGUCGGGCCUGGUUAGUACUUGGAUGGGAGACCAACUAGGAAUACCAGGUGCUGUAGGCG
rnacentral:rRNA from 1 species